GACUAGAAUUGAUUAAUCAAGUUCAGUUUCGACCUGAAAUUAGACCCCUGGUCCUAGUCU
rnacentral:tRNA from 1 species